rnacentral:rRNA from 1 species
GUGGGGAAUAUUGGGCAAUGGGCGAAAGCCUGACCCAGCAACGCCGCGUGAAGGAAGAAGGUCUUCGGAUCGUAAACUUCUAUCCUUGGUGAAGAUAAUGACGGUAGCCGAGAAGGAAGCCCCGGCUAACUACGUGCCAGCAGCCGCGGUAAUACGUAGGGGGCAAGCGUUGUCCGGAAUGAUUGGGCGUAAAGGGCGCGUAGGCGGCCCGGUAAGUCUGAAGUGAAAGUCCUGCUGUUAAGGUGGGAAUUGCUUUGGAUACUGUCGGGCGUGAGUGCAGGAGAGGUAAGCGGAAUUCCCGGUGUAGCGGUGAAAUGCGUAGAGAUCGGGAGGAACACCAGUGGCGAAGGCGGCUUACUGGACUGUAACUGACGCUGAGGCGCGAAAGUGUGGGGAGCAAACAGGAUUAGAAACCCCGGUAGUCC